CUUGUUUACUCGUGCAUAGUUUAUGUCAAAUUGUGUUCGUGUUGUCCUCUUUAAAUCUCAUUAUUUUUCUUAAAUUAACUCCAAACUGGCGUGAUAAUAGAAUUAUGAUUAUAACAUCACAUUGUUUAUCACCCAAAUGAAGUACGUCAGGAGAAUUACGUAAGGUGUCAUUGGCAGAAUCACCACUAGGCUAUUUAAAUUUUGGAUUUAGUAGCUAUCAAGAGUACCUAAUGGAGAUUAUGGGGUUUCCAUUCUGGGUCUGAUGAGGCCACCUACUGACAAAAUGUUGCUCCUACUCAAGAAUAAUGACGUUCAUUCUACUCUGAUCUUCAUGAUGAAUCCGCUUGGCAUCAGAUCAUCCUUUGGGUACUUCUUCACUUACAGAAUUCGGAUGGCUGGGUCGCUUCCUUCAUGAAUUAACU